rnacentral:lncRNA from 1 species
GCAGCCCAAACUCUCUCUCUUUAGACUCUCGGUCCUUCUCUCUCUCCCAUCUCUCCUUUACCUCAAUCACAGCCGACACUCCCCUCUCUCAAACCAGCCGCACGCCUCUUCUCCCUCUCACUCUCGACUCGCCUUCACACGAGGCGUCCGCCGCCGAGACUCCAGCCGUCAUCUGCUUCGGUUGGCUUCGACCGGCGACGUCAUCUCUCUUCCUCAAUCUGCACGCAGAGUUCAAAAUCAAGCCCUAACUUCUCCUGGUAAAUCGCAGCUGCCGCACCUCCGUAUGGAAUCCGGCGAGCGGUCGGCGCCGGUCGUGGCCGUCUCUCUCUCCCUUCUGAAUCCGACGGCUGCUGUCUUCUGGAGCCAUCGCCGACUAGAGUUGCUGCUGCUCGGGCUCGGUACCGGUCGAACAGAGCGGUUGCGUCUCGUUCGUGGCUGCGUCGGCUGUUCUUCUCAACCCAAUGAAGGUGCAGCAGAAGCCCUAAUUUCCUCUCCGAUUUUGAACCGCCUCUCCCUCUCUCCCCGCUCAGCGCCGCGGCGUUUUGUAAAUCCGGCGAUAGCAGCCCCAGCCACCACCGCUCCUUCCGUCGUUGGGCCCUAGUUCUCAGAAAAAGGGAAAAACGCAACUGUCGAGCGACCGCUGCUGCUGCGCACGAGUCUCAGCUCGUCGCCGGGCAGCUGCUGUUCGGGGCUCUGAUGAGGUUGGACGAGUUCGCCCUGUCCCGACCGUCGUCGUCGUCCCCGUCCCCGUCGGGCAGUCAGCCCUUCUACAGCUAAGUUCAAUACUUAAGUCUAUGUGGAGUCUUGGUUUUUGCUACUGAUUUAUGAGAGUUUUCUCAUUGCCUUUAUCUUAAGUGAAGAAAAUAUAUACUGAUUUCUGUAUUAUGCAAGAGAUAAAACUAAGUUCGUGGUUUACUAAUGUAUCAAGAAUUUUCCUUGCUUGCCUCGUGUGAUAAGAAAAUAUAGCAUAAACUGAUUUCGAUUGCUAAGUCCCUGUGUGCAUAUAUAUACACACCUGUAUACUAUGUAUUUCCUUUUUAAACAUAUGCUUGAUGAUAUGAUGUAUGAACUGGAGCUGAGCUAAGUAUAUACCUGCUAUGCUUGGUGUUGGUGGCUGUUUGUUGCUAUUGAAUUCAAUGGGGAAGGAACUGAAAUUGCAAAUAUUGUUUUCUCAACAAAUGCAGAAAGAACCAAGUAUGGAAUGAAGAAAACUUAGGCCAAGACUCACCUCUCGAUACUUGGCAGUUGGCAGCAGCUUAAUGAAUUUUCCUCGCUUUGGUGGUUGAAGGAACUAGUAGCCUUAAAGAACUUAAAGAAUUGAAGAUGGUGGGGAGCAAAGUGGAAAAAUGUAGUGGAGGAAAGCAAAAGGUGGUGGCGUGGAGUGGAGUUAUUGGGAAGUUUGGUGGUCGGCUCUUUCAUAUACAUUCCCUACUUUUGAAUUUUCUCUCUUAUUGACUAAUGUGCCUACACUUGAGUGAAGGCAUUAAGUAAGCCUCGUAGAGUCCAAUCCUUUGUAAUAUACUAAACGAUUUUUCCCAAGCUGGGAACUAGCCUGUAAUCUAUAAACUGUAAAUAAAUACUGGCUUCGAUUUUAAAUCAUCGCAUUUUUGUAUCUGCU